UGUCAUAUGAGAAAUCAUUGUUACCACCUCCACCUCCAUCAUUAUCACCUCCCUAAUUUACAUCGAAAUCCAACACCUUAGCACAUCUUUAUCAUCUUCAUUUAUAAUAUCUCCAAGUUGUUCAUGAUUUCCAACCCCAUUAGUUUCAUCAUCUCCACCAUCCUCAUGAUUUUUUUCCUCCUCUAAUUCUUUCUAUUUAUUUAGGUAGAUUGAUUUUGCAAGAGUAUUACAUGAGUUCAAAAAUUUGUUUAGAAUUAACAAUAAAGAAUUCGAUAAAAAUGGGGUGGCAGCAACGACUAUGGUGGUGGCAACACCUAUUUAGAGGUGGAGAAUGAUGGAGAGAUUUGUUUUAUA
rnacentral:lncRNA from 1 species